GAGGGUGUGGCUCAGUGACAGAGCACAUGCUUAGCAUGCAUGAGUUCCUGGGUUCAAUCCCCAGUACUUCCA
rnacentral:tRNA from 1 species